CAAACAUCCUUCAUAUCCUAGUAUUACACCAAGUAGGUGGAUCCAACACACAUCUUUCAUAUCCCAGUAUUACACCAAGUAGGUGGAUCCAACACACAUCCUUCAUAUCCUAGUAUUACAUCAAGCAGGUGUAUCCAACAAACAAAACUCCCAGUAUUACACCAAACAGGUAGAUCCAACAAACAAAACUCCCAGUAUUACACCAAGUAGGUGGAUCCAACACACAUCCUUCAUAUCCCAGUAUUACAUCAAGCAGGUGUAUCCAACAAACAAAACUCCCAGUAUUACACCAAACAGGUAGAUCCAACAAACAAAACUCAGUGUUACACCAAGCAGGUGGAUCCACACGUCCUUUAUCUCCCAGCAACACGUCAAACAGUUGAAACUAUACAUCUACAUAUUUUCUAUGUAUAUACAUCUUUAGAGUAUACAAACACUGCUGUCAAAUACUUGUAAGUAUUUCUGAAACAUUUAACAAAAUCUAAAGCACUAGUACGUCCUUCUGUCCACAGUACGUCUUCUCAAUUGUAAAGAAAUAACUUUUUACACAAAAUAUUAUAAUACAUGCAUAUCUAAUAAAGCAGUGUUUUAAUGAACUACAUUAAACAGUUGGUUAACAUCUGAUUAGGUUAAUAAUGGCUGGAGACGGCUUAAAUGGGUAUUGAAG